rnacentral:rRNA from 1 species
UAAUACAGAGGGUGCGAACGUUGCUCGGAAUUACUGGGCGUAAAGCGCGUGUAGGCGGGUCGGCAAGUCAGGCGUGAAAUCCCCAGGCUCAACCUGGGAACUGCGCUUGAAACUGCCGGUCUUGAGUAUCGGAGAGGGUGGCGGAAUUCCUGGUGUAGAGGUGAAAUUCGUAGAUAUCAGGAGGAACACCGGUGGCGAAGGCGGCCACCUGGACGAUUACUGACGCUGAGACGCGAAAGCGUGGGGAGCAAACAGGAUUAGAUACCCUGGUAGUCCACGCCGUAAACGAUGGGUGCUAGGUGUCUCGGGUAUUGACCCCUGAGGUGCCGUAGCUAACGCGUUAAGCACCCCGCCUGGGAAGUACGGCCGCAAGGCU